CCCGUCGUUGCCGGACCUCCUUAGCUCGCCGGAGCUCCUGCCGUGUCGCCGCUGUUGCUUGUUGCCGCGCCACUAGAGGAGUGUUGCCUCUGCUCCUCGAGCAAGCGCUGCCGCCUCGCGUUGACUCGUCGUCGUCGAGUCCUCGCCGGAGAACAACGCCCCGCACCCGGACCCACUCGUCUCGCCGCCGGCAAGCCCUGCCUCCGCCGCCCUCGCCGUCGCGUGUUCUUCUGCUUCCGGCGUCAUCCGUGCGUCGCGUUCUGCUGCGGCCUUUGUUCUUCUGCAACGAGGAGCAACGAGGAGCAACGAGUCGUUCGUGCGUUGACCACGUUUUCCCCCAGGUCGAUCGAUCCAGCCAGGACCAGCCCUGCAACCCCGCGGCCCAGAUCCAGCGCCCGCGUGGGCCUCAGGCAGGCCGGCCUCCUCUGCUUCCUAUUGGGCUGAGCCCAUGGUGAGGCCAGCUCCAGCGCCCUCCUUUUUUCCCAUUGUUGGGCCAGCUAGAUACGGCCCGUUUCGUGUUUUUUGUCAUAGUACAUUUUACCUAUUUUUUCUAGGAGUUUGGCAGUUUUGCAGAAUAGCCCCUGUUCUUCUUGCAUUUAAUAUCUCACAAACUAUGCAUCUUUUGUAAAAAAACUUCAUAUAUGAAAAAUGCUUAGUUUUCUGUCUAGUUUCAUAAUAUGCCACUUUCAUCCAUGUUUGAAAUGCUUAAAACGAUGUUUGAUUAAAUUUGCUCAUAUAGCAUGCUAAAACAGUUUAAUUCAUAACUAAAUAACCGUAGCUCCAUUUUAAAUAAACUUUAUAUGUAAAUGGGGUAGAAAAAUGCCUAGUUUAACAUGGUGCACUUUUCUUGCAUGUUUAAUUACUCUAAAAUUGUGUUUAGGGAAGAACAGUACCAAACCUAAAAUAUGCACAUGAGGAGUUUCCGGACUUGUUGUUUGUUGUUCCAGCCUCAUUUAAACUUGCCUAGAUAUGUAGUUUUCAUAUGCUUCAUCCCUUGCCAUGUUAAUCAACAUUUUACAUUGUUGGGUACAUAAACGAGAUCGAACUAAAUAACUUGAAUGUGGUGUUCCGUCAAUAUGCAACUCGUAGCAUAUUGAGCUCCACUUAAUUUGUAGUAUUAUUUGUGCACUUUGCCAUGCCAUGUUUCAUUAAACCGAACAUGAAUCAUACUUGGUUGUGCAUCAUGCCAUGUUCAUUGGUGGUUGUUUAAUAUGUUGUUUGCUUCUUUCCGGGUUACUUCUCGCGUUAGCUUUGGUUUCGUUCCGGAGUAGUGAGGAUCCGUUCGACUACGCCCGUUUGUGCUCUUCAUGGACUCGUUCUUCUUCCUUGCGAGAUCUCAGGCAAGAUGACCAUACCUCGAAAUCACUUCUAUCUUUGCUUGCUAGUUGUUCGCUCUAUUGCUAUGCCGCGAUACCUACCACUUGCUAUAUCAUGCCUCCCAUAUUGCCAUGUUAAGGGUCUAACCCACCCUGUCCUAGCAAAUCGUUGUUUGGCUAUGUUACCGCUUUCCUCAGCCCCUCUUAUAGCAUUGUUAGUUGCAGGUGAAGAUGAAGUUUGUUCCUUGUUGAAACCUGGUUAUUAUUUGGGAUAUCACAAUAUAUCUUAUUUAUUUUAAUGCAUCUAUAUAUUUGUUAAAGGGUGGAAGGCUCGGCCUUAUGCCUAGUGUUUUGUUCCACUCUUGCCGCCCUAGAUUCCGUCAUACCAGUGUUAUGUUCCUUGAUUUUGCAUUCCUUACGCGGUUGGGUGUUCUGGGAACCCCUUGAUAGUUCACUUUGAAUAAAACUCCUCCAGUAAGGCCUGACCUUGGUUUUACCAUUUGCCUCACCUAGCCUUUUUCCCUUGGGUUUCCAGAGCCCGAGGGUCAUCUUUAUUUUAAACCCUCCCCCCGGGCUAGUGGUCCUCUGAGUGUUGGUCCAUCCUGUCAGCCGCCGGUGGCCACCAGGGGCAACUCUGGGCUGGCCAACCGGAAGUUUGGACAAUUCGGUGUGCCCUGAGAACGUGAUAUGUGCAGCUCCUAUCGGGAUUUGUCGGCACAUUCGGGUGGCUUUGCUGGUCUUGUUUUACCAUUGUCGAAAUGUCUUGUAACCGGGAUUCCGAGUCUGAUCGGGUCUUCCUGGGAGAAGGAAUAUCCUUCCUUGACCGUGAGAGCUUGUGAUGGGCUAAGUUGGGGCAACCCUGCAGGGUUUUGAACUUUCAAAAGCCGUGCCCGCGGUUAUGGGCAGAUGGGAAUUUGUUAAUAUCCGGUUGUAGAAAACCUGACACUUAACUUAAUUAAAAUGAAUCAACAACGUGUGUAGCCGUGAUGGUCUUUUGUCGGCGGUGUCCCGGAAGAGAACACGGUCUCGUGUUAUGCUUGAACUAAGUAGUUUCAGGAUCACUUCUUGAUCUUUCUAGUUCACGACCGUUGCAUUGCUUCUCUCCUCGCUCUUAUUUGCGUAUGUUAGCCACCAUAUAAUCUUAGUGCUUGCUGCAGCUCCACCUCACUAUCCCUUUCCUACCUUAAGCUUAAAUAGUCUUGAUCUCACGGAUGUGAGAUUGCUGAGUCCUCGUGACUCACAGAUACUUCCAAACAGUUUCAAGUGCCGAUGAUUCCAGUGCAGGUGACGCAACCGAGCUCAAGUGGGAGCUCGAUGAAGAUCAUGUUCGUUGUAUUGUUUUCAUUUCCAGUUGAUCAGUAGUGGAGCCCAGUCGGGGUGAUCGGGGAUCUUUUGCAUUAGGGGUUGUCUUUCUUUAUAUGGUUCCGUAGUCGGACCUUGAUUGUAUUAUGGAUGAUGUAAUGCUAUAUUUAUGUUUUGUGUGAAGUGGCGAUUGUAAGCCAACUCUUUAUCCCUUUCUUAUUCAGUACAUGGGACGUGUAAAGAUUACCCCUCUUGCUACAUGCCUACCAUGCGGUUAUGCCUCUAAGUCGUGCUUCGACACGUGGAAGAUAUAGCCGCAUCGUGGGUGUUACAUCCUCUUCCCAAAUAUUGAGCGGGAAGGGAGUCAACAACGGCGGGCUAAUUUGAAGGGGGACAGCUAAUACAAGCUAUCCUGACAAAAGCGGUCUUCGCCUGUGAAAGGCUCUGGUGGUGACGCCGUCUUGGGCUCCACGAUGACCUCCGCCUUGCCGUCUGCCUGGUCUUGGUCUUGUUGCACCGAAAUGGCAACCUUUGCCUGAGGCCUCGGUACUCUGCGGCUGCGCUUGCCUCCUUUUCACCAACGAGGAAACAAGGAAGCUGCACGCUGGCACCCGCCUGGUGUCGAUCGUCAUGGCUUACGUCACGAGAGCCUCGUGAGGUUUGCCCUGCCUUGAUAUCUCCGCUCCUCGUGAGCCUGCCUAGCUAGGCCACUCUAGAGGAGGUCUUGCGUCGUCCGCCUCGCGGGGCUUGGCCCCUCGCGAGGGUCUUGGAUGCUUUGUUGGUGAAGAUGGGUCGUACGGCCUGCUACUUGGCCACGCCGUGGGCCGCAGGCAGGCAAGUCUGGGGACCCCCGUUGCCAUAACGCCGACAGUAGCCCCGGGCCCAAGGUGCGCUCGGGCUUGGCUUCGCGGCGAAACCAAGGGUCAAGCUCGAUGCACCGCGGGCCCCAAAAGCCUGCGGCCUCGGUUGACGCAUGGCGGUCCAUAGGUCGUGGGCGUCUCUGCUUCCCCAUGCUACCCUUGAACCUGCCUGGCUAUGCGGCCCUGCUUCUUGCACAGUUAUUCUUCCCUCGCCACGCCCGGCUCUUCCAAUCUCCCUGCUCCUUCGACGUCCUACUCCGCCUUCCCAAUUCAACUUGCGCUCCGUCCGCUUCACCGCCACGGCGCCGAAACAGGCCGAGAAGGGGAACAAAACCUUUUCCUCGCCAAAUGCGCCUCCAUCCUUCGAGCCGGCGCUCGGCCGACCUCGGGUGGUCAACGACGAGGCCAUGGGCAAGGUAUGCCCCAUGCUCGCCUCCAGCUUCAACGAGUGGGGAGAGACGCCGGCCUGGCCUGUGUCUCACUCCAGCAUGGAUCAGGCAGUCACCGAGGUACCGAUCUUCAUUGAUGCCCUCUGGGUUGGCCUACUUCCUCCCUUCUCCGCCUUCUCAAUGCGGUGCUCGAGCACUAUCAGAUCCACAUGCUCCAUCUCGACCCUCAAUCUGUGACCCUUCUUGUCGUCUUUGCUUUCGUGUGUGAGGCCAUGGUGGGCAUCACCCCUCAGUGGCACUCCACCGCCACUUCUUCUCGCUGCAUCUCACCGGUGCCCAGUAGAGCUCGGGGUGGUUGGGCUUCCAGGCUUUGGCAAUGACAGCAGGCAUGGGGAUCAACUUCAAGAUUCCUUCAUCCGCGAGCGAGUUCCGCACGCGAUGGGUGUUUGUUGAUGCCGGCAUGCUCAACCCUCUGCUCCAAGCUCCGAUGGGGCCUGCCAUUCCAAACUCUGGCUGGAGUCAUCAGAAGCUCACGAGCCCCUGCCUUGCCCCCGUCUGGGCUAGGCUGAGGUGGUUGAAGGACAUUGGCGUGACUGCGCCCAUGGUGGUGAGGGAGUUCGUCAGGCGUCGAGUUGCUCCGCUUCAGCGCCAUUCUCGCCUGAUGUGGGCCUUGCUCAGCGGACAGGACAACAUGAGGUUUCAGGAGGAAGGGCUUCCUCUCGCUGCGCGGCAAACAGUGCUCACGGUCCUAUCUGGUGUCCCUCUGCCGGACGAGAUGCCCAGGAAAAGUUGCAUGUUGUACCGCUGCGAGAACAAGGCCACGUUUGCCGCGAACAUGCCUUCCUUUGAUGAGUGGGGGCUGCGCCCAAUCGGCUUGGUGGGGCCCCGCGAGAAUCCCGUCAUCAUGGUCCCCCUCUUCGCCGCCGGUGCCGAGCUCGCCCCAGCUGACGGUGCGGGGGAGCGAGUGGCGACGGUGGCCGACUGCUUAGAUGUUGAGGAGCACAUGCCGAGCGCUGAUCCGGGGGCGUCAUCCUUAGGAGCUUGCGAUGCCCCUCCUGAGGCGUCGGUCGCUGACGAGAUGCGGCAUGCGGCUCCCGAGGCCGAGGCUCAAGGAGCUUCGGGAGGUCGCAGCGAGAAAGAGCCAGGUUGUUCGCCAUAGCCGGGCUCCCCUGAAGCCAUCCCUCUUGGUUCUUCUUCGGCUCCGCCGCGCUCUAGCCGUCACGUCCAGCGUUUCGGUCGCCUUUGUGUGGACUUCGAGGAACUUCUCAAGAGGAAAGGAUGCCCUAGCGGUGGCAGCAUCUUCGGACUGUUGAAGCGACGGAAGUACAUCGCUAUCGAUGAGUAAGUACCUUAUCUUGGUGAUCUUCUAUGUGCCGCCUUCCUUUCCUGACGAUUGUCCCCUCAGGCCCCCUUCUGCUAAGGCCGCGAAAUCUCCGGAGAAGCAGCUCCCUCUCGUCCCAUCGCACCCGCCAAGCUCCAACGCUACAGGCUUGGACGCUGCCCAUGGCGUGUGGUCAGCCAUGGGAGUUGGUCCGUCAUCAAGGCGCCCCGAGCUUGCGCCUUCGCCGUCGUUUCUUCGCGGCCUUGCUCGGAGCACAACAGGUGUUCCAAUGGCUCCUCCCAUGGUCACGGUUAGUAGAUGGCUAGCCUCUAUCCUGGAGUCUCCUUCAAGCAGUGGGCCGUGUUCGGUUCGGGCCCCUCGCGAGGGUCAGCUGGCGCCUGGGGCCGUGCCAGCCGCCAGCCCCCAACCGGGAGGUGGUGCGCCACUUGAUGCUCCACCCGCAACCCUCGAGGUGGAGGACGAGGUGGGCCGAGUGUUCGAGCUCAAGCGCGGGCGCAACAUGGUCCACCACGAGCUCUUCCAGGAGGCGAUGGGAGCGAUUAACCGCCUUGGUGAAGAGCUUGCUGGUGUUGACUCGCGUCUUGAGGAUGAAGGUCUUCAGUUGGUGGAGGAGCGGCGCAAGCUACGAGUGGCCAUCAACCUUGGUCGUUAUCAUCGCGACCUCAAGAACACGAAGGCUGAGGCGUCCCUCAAGAUUGCCAAUGAGGCCCGCUCGCGAGCUUUCGAAGAAGCUCACAAGGGCAAUUGCCGCCGCGAGGCUACUGAGGAGCACGCGUGGGAGCUCCAGGCCUGGAGCGCGUCCCUUGAGCAGCAGGUCGAGGAGCGCAGGGCCGCCCUUGCGUUGAUGAGGGGGACGCCUGCAGAGGAAGAGGAGGUCCGGCAGCGCGACGAGACGCUGGCCCUGGAAGCCAUGGAGCGCAGCCUCGAGCUCGUGCGACCGGAGACGAGGGAGCGUCAAGUCACUCAAGCUGAAGAUGCCGUUGGGGCCCGCAAGGCCAGAGUCGAGGAGGAGAUCAAUCGCCGGGUGGCCGAGGUUCGCGCAGAUCUUUAGGGCAGGUACGACUUGAAGCUGAAGCUCGCUGGUCAGGAGGGUGCGGGCAGGGCUGCCGCCCUCAGGCCCAGGUUGGACGAGGCUAAGAGGCGUGUGGAGGCCAUAGCUGCCGCCCUGGUUACGGCGCAGGCGGACUUGGCCUCUGCCCGCGCCGAGCUGUCUUCCAUCCGGAAAAGAGUUGAUGAUGCCGAGGCCGUCUGUCACAUCCCUAGUUUUGGUAUGACCUAGGCUUGCUUUGUGCAUCAUGUUUAAAUUUCAAAUGAAGUUGAAAUGGGGAUGUUCCAAACCCUAGCACCAAAGCAAAUUCAAAUAGGUUCAAGUUAAAAUUGGAAUUUCAAUAAACCCAAAAUGCUCUUCAAAAAUGCUCAUGGUCUUUGGAAAAUGUUGCAAACAAUAACCAGAGGUGAUGCAAAUUUUUGCUAAACAUUUUGGAUUUUUGAAUGAACCCAUAUGUAUUUGAAUUGGAGUUGUUUAAAAUAAUAUAUAUAUUUUAAAGGCUCCAAAAAUGUUGGAAUUUGGUGAGGGCCUCUAGUAUAUUAUAACUAGUGGUCACAAGGAAUCUCAACAUUUUUAUUUUGUGCUAGUAUUUAUUUUAAGCCAAAAACAAAUGUCAGAAAUAGAAAAGAAAACAAAAAAAAAGAAAGCUUACCUGAGGCCUGGCACUGUUACAGCCCAGCUGGCCAGCCCCGUCUUCUACCUCUUGCCAGUAGGCAGAGGAGAAGCUGGGCACGACGCACGCGCGCGGCCACCGCGCGCCACCUCCACCCUGCCUGGCUGUCCUCCCGUCGCCUGGACCUCCCUCGCGUCGCCACGCACCCCUGGACCUCUCUCACUCUCUCCCGCGCUCCUCCCCUCCUUUGAUUUCUCUUCCCCGCAGCGCCACCGAGCGCAGCCGACGCCACCGCUCGCUGUUGUCGCGGCCACCGCCUCCCUAUCGCCUCCCCGACGUGCCCCAGGGAUUCGCCUCGUCGCCUUCCUCCUCAUCGUAGAGCCACACAUCGCCGGGAGCUCUACUUUGCCAUCAAUUCUGUCAUCUUCAACCUCUCGGCCGCCGAGAUCGCCAGCGCCCGACCUUCAUCUCUGACUCGUCUCCGAGCCCGCUGACCAUCCCGUCGCCUCCGCUGUGAGAUUCUGUGUCUGUUCUCCCUCUUCCCGAGCUCGUUUACGCCCCGCAGUCGUUGCCCCCUUGUCGACUGAACCGCGCCGCCGCCCGAGCUCGUCGGCGGCAACGCUCCGAUGACCAUUUGGUCCCAGACGCGUAUCCACUGAGCUUGCUACCCGCGCUGAGCCUCGCUAGUGCCUCCCCUUGCCCGCUUGCACCCCGCAACACUAACCCCGCGCGCACUCGAGCUCCGGCCGCCGCACUCGUCGUCGCUGGCGCCACUCCGGCCGCUUCCCGGCCGUGCCACCACCACGGCUGGAUGCGGACGAGCGUCCGCGUCCCGUAGCUACACUCCGCGCGCCAAAUGGCCCCCUGUAGGCAAAACCCACAGCGCACCGCCGUGUUUGGACUCGCCGGCGGCUAAACGCCGGCGACCGCUGACUUUAACUGGCGUGGGUUGACCCCACUGCCCAGUUUGACCCCCCUCUCUCUCGCUAACUUGCGGGCCCUGCCUGACUAAUUACUCUAGUUAGCACUAAUUAGCUAUAUAUAUUAGCUACUACGGUCACUGACUAGUGGGCCCUGCCCAGUUAGUUAGGACUAACUAACUUAGUUAGUUGACUAGGUCACUGACCAGUGGGACCCACUGGUUAGGUUUGACCUGGUCAGCCCCAUCGACUCGCUUACGUCAUGCUGACGUAGAUCUGACGCAAUAAUUGAUUUCUGGAAUUAUUUUAACUCGGGAAAUUCCAGAAUAUUGCUUAAACUUCUAGAAUUCAUAGAAAUUCAACCGUAGCUCAGAAUGAAAUAAUUUAUAUAUAAAAAAUUAUCAAAAAAAUGCAAGGAAUCAAUUUAUGCCAGUUACAUGCAUGAAAAACCAACUUAUACAUGCUGUAUAAGUGAAAACAUAAUAUGGGCAUUUUAAAUGCUUCAUUUUAAAUUGCAUUUGAAUCUUUGAUUCAAAUGGGCUUCAACCAACUUGGUAGCAUCUUGCAUUAGCCCAAACACUAGCAUUUGCACAUGUCAUGUUCAUGCAUCAUUUUGUUGCAUUUGUUUGUGUGUUGAUCGUCGGCAUCGUUUCUUCUCGAUAGGUUCCACUCCGGAAGGUGUUCCCGAGUACCUGUCAAAGGAGCAGUGCCCCUUCGUCGUUCUAUCAGGCAAGCAACCCCCCUUGAGCAUUUCGAUAAAUCCCACUCUCUCGCUCCUUCUCCUUAUACUACAUUAGGAUAACAACGAUUCAAACUGCUACUUUCUGCUGCGGUAGUUGAACCCAUUCCUCUGCAUGACCUGUAAUUGCCACAGUAAAUAGUUGAAACCCACUAGCAUGAGUAGGAGUUUCUUGAGCCUUGAUGUGCCUACUCAUCCAUGCUUGUUUUCUUUAUGCCAGCUAUGCUUAGAGUUGUGCCAAGUCUGAUUCAUCGGGAAUGAAUUGGAGUGGUGAACAUGUCCUACUGAUAAAGGCUAAGGUGUGAACACGUUUUGGUAAAGGUAGCGAUGAGAGGCCAUGUAGGAGUACAUGGUGGGUUGUCUCAUUGGAACCGUCCCUAAGCACUGAGUUUUGUGUAUGUUAUCCAAGUCCAGUUACUACCACACAUUGGGUUCCGGUUAUCCGGCCCCUCUCGGCUUAUUAAUCCACUUGAUCUCUGUCCAGGAGUUGCAACUAGUUUUUGGUGUUUGUAGGUAGUGCUAUUUGUCUACCAGGUGGUGUCCGACGGGACGAGCUUGGGACAGACUAGGCACCGUGGCACGGUGUACCAAGUGGCACUCGGAUGGUGGGCUUGGGAACCCUGCACACAUCGUUUGGGGCCGUACUGGAGACUUCGGCCAAAACUCCUUGCGGAUGGAACUCGAAUAGGCGAUAAACCUGGAAGAGAGACUUGUGUGGUUAGUCAGGUCGUGGCCGACACCCUCGCCUGGCUUCCGCUUGAAGGUUGCCGAGGUACAUGAUGUGUACAGGGCGAUAAGUGGCGAGAGCAUGUGUGAAAAAGUACAACCCUGCAGAGUUAACAUUAUCUAUUCGAAUAGCCGUUUUCCUCGGAUAUGGAAACUUGGAGGACUUAUGUAGUACAUAGACAACUUGAAGUGGAUACUCUAAAAUACGCAAGAUAAGCAUGAGUGCCAUGGAUGGCCUUCUCGUAGGGAGACGGGAAUGGAUCCGUAGUGGAGUAUUGAUAUGGUGAAUAUGUGGACUCGUGUGCGUCUCCUCACCUCAAAGAAGUUUCUGAUACUCGUAGUAUAGGUUAGCCACUGAGUCAAAGCUGGCCUGCUACUGUUAAAACUCCACCACCCCCUUUGUUGAUAAUGUUGCAUAUGUAGAUAGUUCUGUUGUAAGACUUGCUGAGUACCUUCAUACUCACGUUUGCUUAUUUAUGUUUUGCAGUUGGUCACUCUAGUGACUUUGAUGAGUAGCUUGUAUCCCAGCUACGAUCUUGUACCCUUGGGAGGGUCCUAUUUAGUCAGGCUUCUUAGUCUUUCCCUUUUGUAGUUGUCUGUACCCAGACAUGUAAUGCUUCCGUUGCUUGUAUGCUCUGAAUGAUGGGUCAUGAGACCCCUGUUUGUAUUGAAUGCUAUGUGGCUCUUUUGGGCCUUUAUCUAUAUGAGUUUGAGUUAUGUUGUGAUGCCAUGUUGUACAGCACAUACUUGCACGUUAUGUGUACGUGUAACGUGUAUUGCUAUGUGUGGGAUCCGACAACCUAGUUGUUUGUCCUUGGUAGACUCUCUUAUGGGGAAAUGUAGUCUAGUGCUUCCACUGAGCCUUGGUAGUCCGCUACAGCCUGGUUUACCAGAGUCCUGCUAGCCCAGUACUACUGCUCCGGAACACUUAGAUUGGCCGGCAUGUGAGUCACUUCAUCCCUGUGUCUGUCCCUUCGGGGAAAUGUCACGCGGAGACAUCCGGAGUCCUGCCUAGCCUGCUACAGCCCGGGUUCCCGGAGUCCUGUUAGCCUAGUGCUACAACCCGGAUUCAUUCGCUGUUGACUGACAUGCUCGAGGUUGAUUCAUGUAUGCCUGUCCCUGUAAGUUAGUGCUACUUUGGGUUCACGACUAGUCAUGUCGGCCCGGGUUCUCUGUCAUAUGCAUGCUAGCGACACUAUCAUAUACGUGAGCCAAAAGGCAUACACGGUCCCGGGCCUGGUAAGGUGGCACCCGUGGGAAUACUGUGCGUGAGGCCGCAAAGUGAUAUGAAGUGUUACAUGCUAGAUCGGUGUGACUUAGGAUCGGGGUCCCAACAGCGUUGGUAUCAGAGCCUGACUGACUGUAGGAUUUCCAAGCCAAACUGGUCGAAGUUGAGUCUAGAAAUCCUUUACUUAUAUAAGGGAAUUGAUUGUGGAAGGGAACAUAAGCCUCUUUUUACUCCUUUACCUCAUGUCAUUCUUUCUGAGUCAGUCUCUUGUUUUCUACGAGGGUUAAGGCCUAGGCUUCUCCUCUAUCUCUCAGGAUGAUGUGUUACUAAACCGUAAAGUCUUAGGAUUGUUGGGUUGUGUCUCCGUACAGCUCUACUACUUCUGUGUGUCCUCAGUUUGACCGAGAACCUUGAUAUUAUGAUGCUGAUUGAUUAUGUUAUUCCUUUAAUGAAUGUCUCAAAAUCCUUUUGAGCAUUUACAGCCGUUAUGCUGCCGAAAUUGUCUUAGGAUUUUUAGAGUUUCCAAUUCUUUUGCAUUACAUUCCGCAUCCUUAUGUCGAUGCUAAUUCCAUCCUUGUUUCCUUGGUUUCUGUGCCAGGGUGUCGUCUGCUAACCAAGGUUCAGUUGCUCAUAGCAAGAACCACGGAGAUAGUAGGGAUGAGGAUCCUCCUGACCAGCCUUUGAUGGCAGAGUUCUUGUUAGCAUCCGAGAGGAACCAGCUUGAGACUAACUGCUUGCUGGCACAGAUUGAGCAGAACACCGCACAUCAGCGUAAGAAGUUGGUUUCUAUCACCGACUUCAUUGGUCUGAAACCACCCACCUUCCAUCAUUCCAUUGAGCCACUUGAUGCGGAUGACUGGCUCCGGAGCAUCACUCACAAGUUGCAUACUGCGAGAGUGGCCGAAGGUGACAAGGUCACCUAUGCUACCUAUCACCUGAAAGGUCCUGCUAGUAUUUAAUGGCAGAGCUAUGAGGCUAUGCUACCAGCUGGCCAGAUUCCUACCUGGAGGGAUUUCACCAAGGCUUUUCGUGAGCACCACAUUCCUCAGGCUCUCAUUGACCGCAAGAGGGAAGAGUUUUGUAGUUUUACCCAGGGUAAGCUGCCUGUUGAUGCUUACAGUAGAGAGUUUGGGAACCUCGCCCGCUAUGCUACAGAAGAAGUGUCCACGGACGCCAAGAAGCAGGCUAGGUUCCGGAAGGGUCUCAACCCUAAGUUGCAUCGUGAUCUCCAACUGCAUCAUUGUGAUACUUUCUAGGCUCUUGUGAACAAGGCCAUUAAUGCAGAGAUAGCUCAACUCACUUACGAGGAGUCUCGUAAGCACAAUUGUGAUCUGGGUUCUUCCUCCCGCUCUGGCUCUCAGAAGCGAUGGAUUUGGAUUCUGAACUCGGCUCUUCCACCUUGAUAUGCACCGAGGCCAUCCGAUGUGGCGCCUCACCCAGCUCAGCAACGUGCUCCACCCAGGCCUAUUAGUGGACCACUUGCCAAUGUAGGUCCACGUCCUGCCUCAGGAACUUGCUUCACCUGCGGAGAACCAGGACACUAUGCACGUGACUGCCCUCAGUCCAGUUAUACUCCACCCCAGUCUGAGAGGUCUGUUGGCCGUGAAAAGCCAUCAGGCAAGAUGAUCGGUACCAAGCCAGCCAUCACUGAGCGAGCAUGUGUGCACCACGUGUCUGCUACAGAAUCUCAAGAUGAUCCCGACGUCGUAUUGGGAACACUUCUUGUCAAUUGUCACCCAGCUUCUAUUCUGUUCGAUACUGGAGCAUCCCACUCCUUCAUAUCCGAAGUUUAUGCUUGGUUGCACGGCAUGUCAUUUUGUGAUAUGCCAACUCCACUAAUAAUCCAGACUCCAGGUUCCAAAUGGAAAACCUCUAAGGUAAGCCAUGGUAAUGAAAUCCUUUUUGACAGACUGGUAUUCCUUGCUUCUUUGAUAUCUCUCAAGUCCACAGAUAUUAACAUCAUCUUGGGUAUGGACUGGAUGACAGCUCAUCAUGCCAAGAUCGAUUGUUACACUAGAUCUGUUCAACUUACACAUCCAUCUGGCAAAAUAGUCACUGUCUCCACUAGAGUUGCAAGGCGUCAACUCUAUUCUCUUAAUGCCAGCCCUCUUCCAGACCUUGAAGAUAUUCCGGUAGUUCGUGACUUCUCGGAUGUCUUUCCAGAAGAACUGCCAGGUGUCCCACCUGACAGAGAUGUAGAGUUUGUCAUAGAACUUAUCCCAGGAACUGUUCCAAUCUCUAGGAGACCAUACAAGAUGGCACCUUUGGAGUUAGCCAAGCUUAAGAAGCAGCUUGAUGAGUCCUUGCAAAAGGGUUUCAUCCGUCCCAGUUCUUCUCCUUGGGCUUGUCCUGUCCUCUUCGUCAAGAAGAAGGAUGGUACGGAUCGGAUGGUUGUAGAUUAUCGUCCCAUUAAUUUGAUCACGAUAAAGAACAAGUAUCCGCUCCUCAGGAUCAACGACCUGUAUGAUCAACUCGCUGGAUCCUCAGUCUUUUCCAAGAUGGAUUUGAGGUUAGGCUACCACCAAAUCAAAAUCAGAAAUGGGGACAUGCCCAAAACGGCCUUUGUCACUCGUUAUGGUCAAUACGAGUACACCGUGAUGUCUUUCGGCCUAACCAAUGCUCCAGCUACUUUCUCCCGCUUGAUGAACUCGAUCUUUAUGGAGUACUUAGAUAAGUUCGUCGUGGUUUAUCUCGAUGAUAUUCUUAUUUACUCGAAGAACGAGGAAGAGCAUGUCGCACAUCUUAGACUUGUGUUAGAAAAACUCAGAGAGCACCGCCUUUAUGCCAAGUUCUCCAAGUGUGAAUUUUGGUUGCCAGAAGUGACCUAUUUGGGCCACGUGAUCUCUGGUAAGGGCAUUUCUGUCAAUCCCGAGAGAGUCAAAGCCGUUCUCGAUUGGACUCCACCCAAAACGGUCAAACAAGUUAGGAGUUUCGUUGAUCUAGCCAGUUAUUGUCGCCGCUUCGUUGAAAACUUCUCCAAAGUGGCAAACCCCUCAUGGAACUUCUCAAGAAAGAUAAAAGGUUUGAGUGGACCCCAUAGUGUGAGCACAGUUUUCAGGAACUGAAAAGAUGCCUGACUUCUGCGCCCAUACUCGUGCCACCGGAUUUCACUAAAGACUUUGUUAUCUAUUGCGACGCUUCGCGUCAAGGACUAGGUUGAAUUCUUAUGCAGGAUCGUCAUAUGAUUGCCUAUGCAUCUCGAUAGUUGCAUCCUCAUGAGGAAAAUUAUCCUACACAUGAUCUAGAGCUUGCAGCCUUAGUCUAUGCACUUAAGACUUGGUGACAUUAUCUUCUUGGUAACCGUUGCGAAAUCUACACUGACCAUCAGAGUCUCAAGUAUAUCUUCACCCAACCGGAUCUGAAUCUCAGACAGAGACGUUGGUUGGAGUUGAUCUCGGAUUACAACUUAGGAAUCACCUACACCCCAGGCAAAGCCAAUGUCAUGGCUGAUGCUUUAAGUCGUAAAUCCUAUUGCAACAACCUCGUGUUGCAACAAUAUCAACCACCCCUCCAUGAGGAAUUAUGUAAGCUUAAUCUUCACAUAGCUCCUCAUGGUUCUCUUUCUACCUUGGUUGCGAAACCUACCCUUACGGAUCAGAUCAUAGAGGCUCAGAAGCAUGAUACGGGAAUCUCCCGGAUCAAGAAAAAUAUUUCCAAGGGAGUUGCCGACUGUUUCUCUAUGGAUGAACAAGGUGUUGUUUACUUUGGAAACCAUUUGGUGGUUCCCAAAUGUCAACAGAUGCAGCAACUAAUCCUUAAGGAGGCCCAUGAAUCUCCUCUCACAAUUCAUCCCGGUAGUACAAAGGUGUAUUAGGACCUACGCCAGAGGUUCUGGUGGACUAGGAUGAAGAGAGAAAUCGUUCAAUAUAUUGCCAACUGUGACGUUUGUCAUCGCGUUAAGGCAGGGCAUCAAAGACCUGCUGGCACCCUUCAACCUUUAGCUAUUCCCGAGUGGAAAUGGGACAAAGUUGGUAUGGACUUCAUCAGCGGCUUUCCCACGACCAAGAAAGGAAAUAAUGCUAUCUUCGUAGUCAUUGAUCGUCUCUCCAAAGUGGCUCACUUCCUACCUGUUCGAGAGAGUAUCACUGCUAGUCAGCUCGCUGACUUAUAUAUCUCCCGAAUAGUGUCACUCCAUGGUGUACCACUAGAGAUCAGUUCAGACCGUGGAAGUCUUUUCACUUCUCAUUUCUGGGAAAGUUUCCAGAAUUCCAUGGGAACCCAUCUUUCUUUCAGUACCGCUUUCCACCCUCAGUCAAGUGGUCAGGUGGAAAGGGUCAACCAAAUUCUCGAAGACAUGCUUAGAGCUUGUGUUAUCUCAUUCGGUAUGGAUUAGUAGAAGUGUCUUCCUUUCGCCGAGUUUGCUUAUAACAAUAGCUAUCAAUCCAGUCUUAAGAAAGCUCCUUUUGAGAUUCUCUAUGGACGAAGAUGUCGAACACCUUUGAACUGGUCAGAAACCGGUGAAAGGCAAUUCUUUGGGCUGGAUAUGAUCCAGGAGGCAGAAGAGCAAGUUCACAUCAUUCGUGAAAAUUUGAAAACAGCCCAAUGUCGUCAAAAGAGCCAGUAUGACCGUCGUCAUAAGGAAGUGGCUUAUGAAGUUGGCGACGAGGCUUACCUUUGGGUUACUCCUUUGAAGGGUACCCAUCGUUUCGGUAUCAAGGGCAAGUUGGCUCCUUGUUACAUUGGUCCUUUUCGCAUUCUCGCUAAAUGAUGAGAGGUUGCCUACCAGUUGGAACUACCCCCACAUCUUUCUCGAGUUCAUGAUGUCUUCCACGUCUCUCAACUCAGGCGUUGCUUCACGGAUCCCAUCCGCGGAGUGGACCACGAAACGCUUGAUCUCCAAGAUAACCUCACUUAACGAGAGUACCCCGUUCGCAUUCUGGAACAAGCAGAGCGUGUCACUCGACUUCAUAACAUCAAGUUUCUCAAGGUUCAAUGGUCUCAUCAUUCCGAGAGAGAAGCUACUUGGGAGCAAGAAGAUCGUCAUCGACUUGAGUACCCCACUUUUUUUCCGCCGACUGGUGAAUCUCGGGACGAGAUUUUUUCGAGUGGGGGCGAGUUGUCACAUCCCUAGUUCUAGUAUGACCUAGGCCUGCUUUGUGCAUCAUGUUUAAAUUUCAAAUGAAGUUGAAAUGGGGAUGUUCCAAACCCUAGCACCAAAGCAAAUUCAAAUAGGUUCAAGUUAAAAUUGGAAUUUCAAUAAACCCAAAAUGCUCUUCAAAAAUGUUCAUGGUCUUUGGAAAAUGUUGCAAACAACAACCAGAGGUGAUCCACAUUUUUGCUAAACAUUUUAGAUUUUUGAAUGAACCCAUAUGUAUUUGAAUUGGAGCUGUUUAAAAUAAUAUAAAUAUUUUAAAGGCUCCAAAAAUGUUGGAAUUUGGUGAGGGCCUCUGGUAUAUUAUAACUAGUGGUCACAAGGAAUCUCAACAUUUUUAUUUUAUGCUAGUAUUUAUUUUAAGCCAAAAACAAAUGUCAGAAAUAGAAAAGAAAAAAAAAA
rnacentral:lncRNA from 1 species